UCAAAAUGGACAAGAAAUGUGACAAAAUCUAACGUGUACCCACACAGGUUGUAGUGAUUGUUGCAUAUGGGCCACAGUGAUUUGCUCUUUGUUACCUGUCAGCUUACCUGCUCAGGUAGAGUCACCUGACUUGACUGUCACUAUCCCCUGUUUACCUGACACAGACAGGGGGCGGCCGGCGAGUGUUGUGAUGGAACAUGACCAGGGUACAGAAUAGGCCAGGAUGACUGGUUCCUCCAUGCCUCCUGAUCACGGGGCCUUGACCUUGUCAGGUCACAUCAGCAAUCACAGGUGGAGUAUGUCUGGAUGCAUGAUACUGUAUCCUUUGUGUAUAUUAUGGGCAAAUAUUAAACAUUGCACUUUCUGUGACAUUCUGAAAGGUAAAGGAGCCUAAUUCAUUAGAUUUAUCAAGUUCGUACAAUGCAUUAUCUAUAGAAUUCUUAUUAUCUGUAAUAUUCUUUUCUAAAAGUUACACAUAAUGACA